UACGAGGGGAGGCAAGCGUUGUUCGGAUUUACUGGGCGUAAAGGGCGCGUAGGCGGCAAUUCAAGUCAUCUGUGAAAUCUCCGGGCUUAACCCGGAACGGUCAGAUGAUACUGCUUUGCUAGAGUGCGGAAGGGGCAAUCGGAAUUCUCGGUGUAGCGGUGAAAUGCGUAGAUAUCGAGAGGAACACCUGAGGUGAAGACGGGUUGCUGGGCCGACACUGACGCUGACAGCGCGAAGCCAGGGGAGCAAACGGG
rnacentral:rRNA from 1 species